UCGAGGGGUAACAGGAUUUAGUUUACUAGAUUGCUGACGACCGGCGCACGGGUGAGUAACGCGUAUACAAUUUACCUUUUACAGGGGGAUAGCCUUUAGAAAUGAAGAUUAAUACCCCUGGUAUUAUAGAGUGGCAUCACUUUAUGAUUAAAGCUUCGGCGGUAAGAGAUGAGUAUGCGUCCUAUUAGCUAGAUGGUAAGGUAACGGCUUACCAUGGCGACGAUAGGUAGGGGUCCUGAGAGGGAGAUCCCCCACACUGGUACUGAGACACGGACCAGACUCCUACGGGAGGCAGCAGUGAGGAAUAUUGGUCAAUGGAGGCAACUCUGAACCAGCCAUGCCGCGUGCAGGAAGACGGUCCUAUGGAUUGUAAACUGCUUUUAUAGAGGAAGAAACCUAUCUA
rnacentral:rRNA from 1 species